rnacentral:rRNA from 1 species
GAUGAACGCUAGCGGCAGGCCUAAUACAUGCAAGUCGAGGGGUAUCCCGCUUUCGGGCGGGAGAGACCGGCGCACGGGUGCGGAACGCGUAUGCAACCUACCCAUAUCUGGGGGAUAGCCCGGAGAAAUCCGGAUCAACACCGCAUAAAAUCACAGUACGGCAUCGAACAAUGAGCAAACAUUGAUAGGAGAUGGAUGGGCAUGCGUGUCAUUAGCUGGUUGGCGGGGUAACGGCCCACCAAGGCGAUGAUGACUAGGGGAUCUGAGAGGAUGGCCCCCCACACUGGUACUGAGACACGGACCAGACUCCUACGGGAGGCAGCAGUAAGGAAUAUUGGUCAAUGGGCGGAAGCCUGAACCAGCCAUGCCGCGUGCAGGAAGACGGCCCUCUGGGUUGUAAACUGCUUUUAUUCGGGAAUAAACCUGCAUACGUGUAUGCAGCUGAACGUACCGAAGGAAUAAGGAUCGGCUAACUCCGUGCCAGCCGCCGCCGUAA